rnacentral:tRNA from 1 species
CUUAAAUAAGAAACAAAAAUUGUAUUUAGUUUCGACCUAAAAUUAUGGUGCCUAAACACCCUUAUUUAUU